CGCGUAGGCGGCUUCGCAAGUCCGGGGUGAAAUGUCUCGGCUCAACCGGGAACCUGCCUUGGAAACUGCGGAGCUUGAGGGCGUGAGAGGAGACUGGAAUUCCUAGUGUAGCGGUGAAAUGCAUAGAUAUUAGGAAGAACACCAGUGGCGAAGGCGAGUCUCUGGCACGAUCCUGACGCUGAGGCGCGAAAGCUAGGGGAGCAAACG
rnacentral:rRNA from 1 species